rnacentral:rRNA from 1 species
AACGAACGCUGGCGGCAGGCUUAACACAUGCAAGUCGAACGCCCCGCAAGGGGAGUGGCAGACGGGUGAGUAACGCGUGGGAACAUACCCUUUUCUACGGAAUAGCUCUGGGAAACUGGAAUUAAUACCGUAUACGCCCUACGGGGGAAAGAUUUAUCGGGGAAGGAUUGGCCCGCGUUGGAUUAGCUAGUUGGUGGGGUAAAGGCCUACCAAGGCGACGAUCCAUAGCUGGUCUGAGAGGAUGAUCAGCCACAUUGGGACUGAGACACGGCCCAAACUCCUACGGGAGGCAGCAGUGGGGAAUAUUGGACAAUGGGCGCAAGCCUGAUCCAGCCAUGCCGCGUGAGUGAUGAAGGCCUUAGGGUUGUAAAGCUCUUUCACCGAUGAAGAUAAUGACGGUAGUCGGAGAAGAAGCCCCGGCUAACUUCGUGCCAGCCGCCGCCGAAAGAC